rnacentral:rRNA from 1 species
GUUACCUACGGGGCGCAGCAGUGAGGAAUAUUGGUCGAUGGCCGAGAGGCUGAACCAGCCAAGUCGCGUGAGGGAAGACGGCCCUACGGGUUGUAAACCUCUUUUGUCGGGGAGCAAAGCGAGACACGUGUGACUCAUUGAGAGUACCCGAAGAAAAAGCAUCGGCUAACUCCGCGCCAGCAGCCGCGGUAAUACGGAGGAUGCGAGCGUUAUCCGGAUAUAUUGGGUUUAAAGGGUGCGCAGGCGGAGGU